rnacentral:rRNA from 1 species
ACGUCUAAGCAGUAAGGCUGAGUAUUAGGCAAAUCCGGUACUCAUUAAGGCUGAGCUGUGAUGGGGAGAAGACAUUGUGUCUUCGAGUCGUUGAUUUCACACUGCCGAGAAAAGCCUCUAGAUAGAAAAUAGGUGCCCGUACCGCAAACCGACACAGGUAGUCAAGAUGAGAAUUCUAAGGUGAGCGAGCGAACUCUCGUUAAGGAACUCGGCAAAAUGACCCCGUAACUUCGGGAGAAGGGGUGCUCUUUAGGGUUAACGCCCAGAAGAGCCGCAGUGAAUAGGCCCAAGCGACUGUUUAUCAAAAACACAGGUCUCUGCUAAACCGUAAGGUGAUGUAUAGGGGCUGACGCCUGCCCGGUGCUGGAAGGUUAAGAGGAGUGGUUAGCUUCUGCGAAGCUACGAAUCGAAGCCCCAGUAAACGGCGGCCGUAACUAUAACGGUCCUAAGGUAGCGAAAUUCCUUGUCGGGUAAGUUCCGACCCGCACGAAAGGCGUAACGAUUUGGGCACUGUCUCAACGAGAGACUCGGUGAAAUCAUAGUACCUGUGAAGAUGCAGGUUACCCGCGACAGGACGGAAAGACCCCGUGGAGCUUUACUGUAGCCUGAUAUUGAAAUUCGGCACAGCUUGUACAGGAUAGGUAGGAGCCUUUGAAACGUGAGCGCUAGCUUACGUGGAGGCGCUGGUGGGAUACUACCCUAGCUGUGUUGGCUUUCUAACCCGCACCACUUAUCGUGGUGGGAGACAGUGUCAGGCGGGCAGUUUGACUGGGGCGGUCGCCUCCUAAAA